GACGAACGCUGGCGGCGUGCUUAACACAUGCAAGUCGAGCGGAAAGGCCCUUCGGGGUACUCGAGCGGCGAACGGGUGAGUAACACGUGAGUAAUCUGCCCUUGGCUUUGGGAUAACUACCGGAAACGGUGGCUAAUACCGGAUACGACAACCGUCUGCAUGGGCUGGUUGUGGAAAGUUUUUUCGGCCAGGGAUGUGCUCGCGGCCUAUCAGCUUGUUGGUGGGGUAAUGGCCUACCAAGGCUUCGACGGGUAGCCGGCCUGAGAGGGUGACCGGCCACACUGGGACGGGGCCCCGGCCAGACUCCUACGGGAGGCAGCAGUGGGGAAUAUUGGACAAUGGGCGGAAGCCUGAUCCAGCAACGCCGCGUGAGGGAUGACGGCCUUCGGGUUGUAAACCUCUUGCAGUACCGACGAAGCGCCGAUGAUGGUGGUGACGGUAGGUACAGAAGAAGCACCGGCCAACUACGUG
rnacentral:rRNA from 1 species